ACCAACAGGGAUUGCCUCAGUAACGGCGAGUGAAGCGGCAAAAGCUCAAAUUUGAAAUCUGGCACCUUCGGUGUCCGAGUUGUAAUUUGAAGAAGGUAACUUUGGAGUUGGCUCUUGUCUAUGUUCCUUGGAACAGGACGUCACAGAGGGUGAGAAUCCCGUGCGAUGAGAUGUCCAAUUCUAUGUAAAGUGCUUUCGAAGAGUCGAGUUGUUUGGGAAUGCAGCUCUAAGUGGGUGGUAAAUUCCAUCUAAAGCUAAAUAUUGGCGAGAGACCGAUAGCGAACAAGUACAGUGAUGGAAAGAUGAAAAGAACUUUGAAAAGAGAGUGAAAAAGUACGUGAAAUUGUUGAAAGGGAAGGGCUUGAGAUCAGACUUGGUAUUUUGCAAGCCUUACCCUCGUGGUGGGGUCCCCUGCAGUUUACUGGGCCAGCAUCGGUUUGGAUGGUGGGAUAAUGACAUUGGAAUGUGGCUCUGCUUCGGUAGAGUGUUAUAGACUUUGUUGAUACCACCUGUCUAGACCGAGGACUGCGUCUUUGACUAGGAUGUUGGCAUAA
rnacentral:rRNA from 1 species